AUGACUGUGACUGUAGAUUGCAGUCAGCUUCCUCAGGGUGCAGACACACUGAAUGCACUGCAAAGUGAAUUCCCAGAUCUACGGAUGGAGCGUGACUUUCUACGGCCCACAUGCACCUUGCAAGGCAGCUAUUCUGAUUUUCAAACUGCAUUUCCUUAUAUGCAGACAUUAUUUGCUCAUCACAUUUCACAAGCCAAAAAUCAGAAUUUUAUUGGGGACAACGGUCAUGGUCAUAAGGUAAGGGAAGACCCUGCAGGUGCAAAGAAGUGGGACGGCUUUACAUCCCAAUCACCGGCCAUUCAUGCAGGAGACUUCAGCUUUAGGCCCAGAGAGGAUUUAGGUCAAGAAAACUAUAGAUUGCAAGAUAACAAUGAAGCUCUCACUGGACGCAGUACUCAGUCAAGAAGAGGUAAAAUCGAGGAGGGAGCAGAGUGCAGGACAGAUGAAGAUGAUUUGGAAGAUCUUUCGAUAAUCAUGGAUGCUGAUGUGUUUGCAUACCUGCAAAACAUCAAAGAGUACAAUCGGAUACUGCAACAUCAUGGAGUACAAGUGGUUCAUGUUACUUCCGAGGGGGUCACCACUGUGUACCUGCAGUCAAGCAAGUCAGAGGUUAAACAGAACAUUAAGCAAGCCCAUAAGGAGCUAAGGCAGCUUUAUCAACAGCAAGAGGCUUUUCUAAGAAAAGACCAGGUAAAAAGGAGUGCCCUUUACAUGGCCGAUGGAUUGAACACAACAUUAAAACAGGUGCAGUUAUUACUGCCCAAUGUUCUCCUCAGCUUUGACCAGGACAACAUUUAUAUAGUUGGAGAGAAAAGUGAGGUAUCUCAGGCCAAACAAAUGCUAUUGAUUGGGGUGGAAAAAGACCUGAUGAGUUUGACAGAAAUUCCACCAUCCUCUUCUAGUUUUCCAUCAGCAUCCCCUGAACCCUUGGAGAGAGAGCAACAGGUUAUGGGUGCCCCUCAAACAUUAGUUCCCCCCAAACUAAUUGGUUCCAGCACUGAACGAAAAGGGGAGAUUGGAAAUACAAAAGAAUACAAACUAGCUGCUCGGUUUAAGAGAGAGGAGAUAGGUGGAGACAUCAGGAGUCUCACUACAAAGAUGGACAUGUUAAAGUUAGCCCAAAGCUCUCAGUCAACAACACCACCCACACGGCCCUUGUUUGGCACCACAGGCGAACUCAGUAUCGAACUGCCCAGGGAAGGAACUGAAGCAUUCAGGAUGACAGAGCCAAGCUGUACAGGGCAGGAUAUCCUGUUUAAAAACCAAGACCCGCUAUCUCUGAAUACAUUUGGUGGAACCACCUUCAGCACAUCCAAGGCCAAACCAAGUACUUCCGCUGGACUCACUUCAACACUGGGAACAGGAGUCAUGGCUUCAGUGAGCACAAAUGUGAAUUCCCUAUCAGCAAGUAAUACAAAAGUGAAGACAGCUGCUCCCUCAUCAACAUCUAAAUCUUCAUUAAGGAGGUCCAAUAGUUUCUCUGGUCAGCCAAGAGAGCAGGUAAAAAAUAACCAGGUUAAAGCUGAGCCAACGAUCAAUGCAAAUUCACAUAAAAGAGCAAGAUCCAAUAGCAUUAGUGGUGGAAGACCUAGUAAAGAUUGUCCAGUGACUGUAGUUGAAGCAGAACUUACUGUGUCUGGUCUAAUGUGGACUUACAUAAAGGAUGCAUAUCGUUCUCAGGUGCAGGCUAUGGAAUGUGACUUGCAAAUGUCUGAGAAACGACCAGGCAAAAGUCAUAUAAGUGUUACUCUAAAGGGAACAGAUUCAGCAAAAGUUGAAGAAAGUCAUCGUGAGCUUCAGAAUCUAGUGGCUAUAGUGGCCAGCGACUUUGGCUUCUAUGAAUUAUGUUUGAAUGAGCUUGGUGUGGAUCAGAAAGAUGAACUCUUUUUGGCCUGCUGCUCAAGUUUAAGGACACAUAUAUCUAAGGUUAGCUCGUACACCACAAAGAGACACCUUGUCUUGAUUGGUCCAAAAUUCCUCUGCUCUCAAGUCAGUGAUAUAUUUAAGGAUGUAUUUUCUGGGCAGAAGUCACAUUCCUCAUUCCUUCUGAAGUUGAAGACCUUGCAAGAGUGUGUAGAACAAGGUGCAUCCAAGGCAUUUUUGAGCAUACGAUCAACAAGGGCCGAUCACUCUAAAUCAGAUCAAAGCUUAAAGGAGUUUUCUUUUCAGGACACAAGUCAGGUGGUUCAGUCUAACGGCAGUCUCAAGAGUGAUGGUCAUUUGACCAAAAAGAAAUCAGACACAUUGGAAAAGUUGGAGCACUCUAUAUCCACGGAGGACAAAUUAAGCAAGGCAAACACAUUAAGCCAACUAGCUAAUGCCAAAGAAGACACACAAAGUGAUAAGCCAAGUUCUUUACCACUUGAAGCAAAGAAAAAACAAGAUACCUCAAAGAUUCUGAAACAGACUAACUUGCUGUCCAGUAUCACUUCAGAGCAAUGCGUGUGUGGAGCGAUUGGUGCAAAUGUGAAGCGCACCUCCUGUGGUGUCAUCCUUUGCUCUGACUGCAAACUGCUGCAUUCACACUGUCGAGUGUGUGGAAAAGAGGAGGUAUACGCUCAGAAGAUGAUACAGGGGCAAAGUAUUGAGUCAAAGAACACAGAGCAAGAUAAUCAGGCUCAAGAGCAGUAUUCAGGACAAGAGGACAUCAAGGAACAUAAGGGCAUCCAAGGCACGAUGACCUGUGUGGAGAUGCCUCUGAGUCUUUCAGGCUAUAAUAAAUACACAAUGGCCAAGAUCAAGUACAGCAUACCUGAUGGCAUACAAGGGGAUAAGGAUCCCCAUCCUGGUUCACCAUUCGAAGGUGGUCAGUUUGUGGCUUAUUUGCCACUCGAUCCAAAAGGAAGAAGUUUAUUGCCCUCCCUGAAAAAGGCAUUUGAUCAAGGGCUAACAUUUGUUAUUUCAACCAAGAAGGCCAAUGGUGGAGAUGCAAAAGUGAGCUGGGGCAAGAUCCCACACAAGACCAGCAUGGAGGGGGGCAGGGGCAGGUGAGUCCAGGUGGAUGAUUCUGCCAUGGCAGGUGGCACAGACAUGUUAAUCUGUGAUUUCUGCCUUUUAGGUGAGACAUAAUGGACAAUGCACCAUUAUCUUAUUAGAUAAAUACUGCACAAACAUGGGUUUUUUCUAUUAAAUCAAUGAACCGGAGUCAAUUAUUCCACUUACACUACAGCUACCAUACCUAAAAACACUGUUCAUAUGUUGUAAAUCAAAACAUUUGUCCGUUUUUUUUUUCUCAAACAGCUUCUUUGUCUAUUACUAGUUAAUACAGCCCAUCUAAAGUCUUCUGUAUUAAUUGUAGGCUGUGAAGUAAAUGAAAUCUUUCAGCACAGUGGCAUGGAACUUAAAUGCGGUCAAGAACUGCCUGGAAAAACUUUAGCUGUGCAUUUCUUUGAUAAUAAUUACAAGCCAUAGAUUGUUUGUCAGACAAGCAGAAUCAAGCGUUUAACAGCAUCAUAUGAUCAACUGUUUUAAUAGUAUCAUUUGAAACAUUUCAAAACUGUAUUAAUCCAUGAAUGGAUACUUGAUAUUGCAUAUUUAUAAUUUAAGAUUUCCCAUGGACAUUAAAUGUUUGUUUGUGCGCAGGAAUGGAUAUCCAGACUCUACAUACCUUGUUCUCUUGUCUGAGGCACUGGUGGCUCAUGGAAUUGAAGGAGUCCCCGGCAGUUAGUCAGGAUGAAGCCAAAAUCUGACCUUGCAAAAAGCACAAAAUCAUUAAGACCAAAAGACUACAGUUUAUUGUGUAUUAUUUUUUGAUACAGUUCCAAACUACACAUAUCAAAAUGUAAUCCAUGUAAAUGAAGUUUUAAAUAUACUGACUGAUUACUUAACCUUUGGGUUGCACCUUUUUUGCUAACUAUUUUUUUUAUUCAGUAUUUCUGCUUAACUGUUUUUGUACGGUAUGUAAUCAAUUUAGAAUGUAAAUUAAAUUGUUUUAGGAUCAUUUUUUUAUUUUAGAAUCAGUGUUUUUUUUCUAUAAUCUUUAUUGACAUAUAGAAUGCAACAACAUAACACUCUGUAUAUUCUGAAUCAGCGUACAAGUAUGCUUUUUAAUAAAACAAUAACCUUGCUGUGGGGGUUGUUUUUUGUGCCAUUUUUAAAUUAAAGGUCCCAUGAAAUUAAAAUAGCGUUUCUUUUAGAUGUUAGUAUCAGUGUUGUUAGAUUUUAGGAUAUCUAUAAGGUAGUGUGCUCCAAAACAGUGACAAAAUUUGUGUUUAAAAGAUAUAAAACAGAUAUAACUAUGUUAAGCUUGUAGUUUGUCACUUCCACAUCACCGGUUUUAUUCAUGUCCCCUCAUACUUCAGUUUCUCAUCAAAUCAUAACCAAUCAAAUGCUCUCUAGUAUGACAUGCCCCGGCCCCUUCAAGACACUUCUCAUUUAAUGCAUUUGAGCUCAACAACUCUCACUGGCGAGCGAAAUUGGGAUUAAUUGUUGAAAAAAAUACCACACUACUGGUUGUUUUAUUUUAUUUUUUAAAGGGCUACACUGUCCCACCCUCUCUUCAUGUUUCAGUUGAGAUUAUGUCAAACAUUGAAUAAAAAUACACAUUUCAAAGCACUUCAUGGGACCUUUAAACAUUCUUAGGCCUAGCACAUCUCUAAUCUGCACCUCAACUGAUAUCCCCAUGAAAAGAGGACACAUAUAGCAUAAAUCUAUUUAAAGGGGUGUGUUUAAUGGGUUAGCUUGGCCAAAAGGAAAACGUUAUUAAUUACCCUCAUGUCAAUCCAAAACCCUUGGGACCUUCAUUCAUUUUUUUAACACAAAUUAGGAUGUUUUAGGUGAAAUCUGAGAGCUCCCUCAUCCUCCAUAGACAACAAUGUUCGAAAGUCCAGAAAAAUACCCAAACAUCCUCAAAUCAGACCAUAUGUGAUCAGUGGUUUAAUCAGAAUAUUGUCAAGCCCGUUUUUGUGAGCACAUAAAAUAUAAAUAAACACUUUAUUCAAAAGUUUUUUUUUACUCCUCAGAGUCAGUAUAGGGCGCACAUUUCAUGAAAACGACCAGGCGCAACAGGUUAACCCAUUCGAUAAGUUGUUUAUGCAUGUGGUUUGAUGUAUUCAUUUUCUUUUUCUCAUUUUUUGUUAGGUUUUUCUUUGUUGUUUUAGGGGGGGGUUAUGUUUUCUCUUUUAUGCAUGUAAAAGAACAGUAAGAAGCUGCUAGUUCACUUAAGUGCACAAAACAUGUAGAAAUAAAUCAUAUUUUUUCAUGAUUUAUGUAUUGCAUUUUAUUUGCUUUGAGUGACUUAUGACAUUAUUCUGCUAUGUUGUUGUAAUGUAUUUGUGCACGGGUGACCCCUCAGUCACUUUCAUUAAUGAUGCAGUCCCGUUAAUAUAAGACUGGGUUUUUGUGGUUUAGUUUGGGAGUUCUUUUUACUAUUAUUUUGGGUUAGGGACAUCUUUAACAUUUGAGCACAGAAAACAGGACUGAGGUUUAAAUGAUUUGGUUUGGCUAAGUAUAUUUUUCCCCUCUUUGUAAAAAAAUAAAAUAAUUUAUUUAAUUGCAAGUUAUGUUAACUGUUUGCUUGUGAAAUGCUCAGUUUUUUCACUUACACUUACUUUACGUCAUGUAAAUAGCAAAUGCGCUUAAAGCGUGACACAACUGGCUCUUAAAGUGAAUGGAAGAUGAGACUCAGAUUGGUUUAUUCUCAAAACACACCUAUAACUCACCGCUUAAACUUAACCCUUUUAGACCAUGCGCCACAGCGCAAAGCGGAUUUUUCAGUCCUUAAAUUAGCAAUAGUGGAUUCUGACACGCCCUGAAAGUUUUAGCGCCCUGCGUUUUGCACUGAGCAUGGACCGUUAAAAUAGAGCCCAAUAAGUCAUUGGACCCAGACUAAAAGGAGAAAGUGUUUCCCCAAAAGCAAAAAUUAUGCUGUAGUCCAUCUGCUGUAUUUUUCUUUAGUUUUUCGAUUAUAGCUAGAUUAUGUAAAGAACAAUAAUAGAUCAUGUAAAGAUUACUCAUGUAAAGAUUGAUUAUGUAAAGAUCGAUUAUACAUCAAUUAUGAAAAGAUUAAUUAUGGAUAGAUUAUGU
rnacentral:lncRNA from 1 species